rnacentral:rRNA from 1 species
AUGAACGCUAGCGACAGGCCUAACACAUGCAAGUCGAGGGGCAUCGGGGUGUAGCAAUACGCUGCCGGCGACCGGCGGAUGGGUGAGUAACGCGUAUGCAACCUGCCUUCAGCAGGGGGAUAGCCCGUUGAAAGACGGAUUAAUACCCCGUAACACAGGGGCUCCGCAUGGAGAUUAUUGUUAAAGGGAUGCUUCCUUCGGGGAGUAUUCCGGCUGAAGAUGGGCAUGCGUUCCAUUAGGUAGUUGGUUGAGGUAACGGCUCACCAAGCCUGCGAUGGAUAGGGGAACUGAGAAAGGUUGGUCCCCCACACUGGUACUGAGACACGGACCAGACUCCUACGGGAGGCAGCAGUGAGGAAUCUUGGUCAAUGGACGGAAGUCUGAACCAGCCAUGUCGCGUGAAGGAGGACGGCCCUAAGGGUUGUAAACUUCUUUUGCAGGGGAAUAAAGUAUUCCACGAGAUGGGAUAUUGCAAGUACGCUGCGAAUAAGGAUCGGCUAACUCCGUG